GUACUUAGGCAGUCAGUAAGGAAAGCUUUAUUUUACUCUGGCUGCUCUCUUUAUCUUCCUUUUCCUGUUUUAUUUUUUUCAUUGACUGGAAAAGAUUUAUUUCCCUGCUUGAUGUGAUUAAACGUUUUGCCAAAUUGAUGCAUGAGAACCAGUUUCUAUGAGAACUCUCUUCUGGAGAUGUAUAUCCAUGUAACUCUGUAAUUCUUCCCAUAUCUGACUGUUUGUUUCCAAUCUUUUGACUGCUUUCUUGCUUUUUAUGCCUUUAUCUUUGCUUAUUUGAAUUAGGUACUUCUCUGCUACCUUUCACCUGCUCUUUUUCUGUGCCAUUGUUUCCCUUGCUACCUCACCUAAAACCAGGCCCUAGAGAAACAGAAAGAAUACAUUGCCUGCCUUAGGAAUGAGCGAGAUAUGCUCAGAGAGGAGCUGGCUGACCUGCAGGAGACAGUGAAGACGGGAGAGAAACAUGGCUUAGUUAUAAUCCCCGAUGGCACUCCCAAUGGUGAUGUCAGUCAUGAACCACUGGCUGGAGCCAUCACUGUUGUGUCUCAGGAAGCUGCUCAGGUCUUGGAGUCAGCAGGAGAAGGGCCAUUAGAUGUAAGGCUACGAAAACUCGCUGGAGAGAAGGAAGAACUACUGUCACAG
rnacentral:sRNA from 1 species